UCUGGAUAAAGUGACUGAUUUAUAUUGCAAUAUGUCAAACGCAUCCCUCCGGGCCAUCAUGCGGACUUUCGUUAUGAACCGGAGAUUUUAUAUCGCUGAAUAUAUUAACCAACAAUCCAGUUCGCAGAGUGCUCAGGACGCAAAUGGCGGCAAAGCGACGGCUCCUGCAGCCGAAAUGGAAAGAAGUUUGGCGCCUGGUUUGACCGAGACAAACGAGAGCAGUCCGGAUUCUGAAGAAUCAGUAAUUUCGCUGUCUAGAUCGGAGGAGACAAACGAGAGCAGUCCGGAUUCUGAAGAAUCAGUGAUUCCGCCGCCAUCUUCCUCUAUAACCGGAAUUGAAAAUUGUACGAGGAAUCAAAGGUUUCGUGAAAUCAAUCACGGAAAACAGUAACUAAAAUACUUACCAAGGAAACAGUUUACCAAGGAAACACAAAUACGAAAUCGAGACAAUGAUCAAAAACGACAAGCUGAAUGUGAUAUGUUCGAGGUUUCCCGAAUAUUUCCGGAGCCCAAACUCAACGAUUCCUGUGGAGAAUCUGGAUAAAGUGACUGAUUUAUAUUGCAAUAUGUCAAACGCAUCCCUCCGGGCCAUCAUGCGGACUUUCGUUAUGAACCGGAGAUUUUAUAUCGCUGAAUAUAUUAACCAACAAUCCAGUUCGCAGAGUGCUCAGGACGCAAAUGGCGGCAAAGCGACGGCUCCUGCAGCCGAAAUGGAAAGAAGUUUGGCGCCUGGUUUGACCGAGACAAACGAGAGCAGUCCGGAUUCUGAAGAAUCAGUAAUUUCGCUGUCUAGAUCGGAGGAGACAAACGAGAGCAGUCCGGAUUCUGAAGAAUCAGUGAUUCCGCCGCCAUCUUCCUCUAUAACCGGAAUUGAAAAUUGUACGAGGAAUCAAAGGUUUCGUGAAAUCAAUCACGGAAAACAGUAACUAAAAUACUUACCAAGGAAACAGUUUACCAAGGAAACACAAAUACGAAAUCGAGACAAUGAUCAAAAACGACAAGCUGAAUGUGAUAUGUUCGAGGUUUCCCGAAUAUUUCCGGAGCCCAAACUCAACGAUUCCUGUGGAGAAUCUGGAUAAAGUGACUGAUUUAUAUUGCAAUAUGUCAAACGCAUCCCUCCGGGCCAUCAUGCGGACUUUCGUUAUGAACCGGAGAUUUUAUAUCGCUGAAUAUAUUAACCAACAAUCCAGUUCGCAGAGUGCUCAGGACGCAAAUGGCGGCAAAGCGACGGCUCCUGCAGCCGAAAUGGAAAGAAGUUUGGCGCCUGGUUUGACCGAGACAAACGAGAGCAGUCCGGAUUCUGAAGAAUCAGUAAUUUCGCUGUCUAGAUCGGAGGAGACAAACGAGAGCAGUCCGGAUUCUGAAGAAUCAGUGAUUCCGCCGCCAUCUUCCUCUAUAACCGGAAUUGAAAAUUGUACGAGGAAUCAAAGGUUUCGUGAAAUCAAUCACGGAAAACAGUAACUAAAAUACUUACCAAGGAAACAGUUUACCAAGGAAACACAAAUACGAAAUCGAGACAAUGAUCAAAAACGACAAGCUGAAUGUGAUAUGUUCGAGGUUUCCCGAAUAUUUCCGGAGCCCAAACUCAACGAUUCCUGUGGAGAAUCUGGAUAAAGUGACUGAUUUAUAUUGCAAUAUGUCAAACGCAUCCCUCCGGGCCAUCAUGCGGACUUUCGUUAUGAACCGGAGAUUUUAUAUCGCUGAAUAUAUUAACCAACAAUCCAGUUCGCAGAGUGCUCAGGACGCAAAUGGCGGCAAAGCGACGGCUCCUGCAGCCGAAAUGGAAAGAAGUUUGGCGCCUGGUUUGACCGAGACAAACGAGAGCAGUCCGGAUUCUGAAGAAUCAGUGAUUCCGCCGCCAUCUUCCUCUAUAACCGGAAUUGAAAAUUGUACGAGGAAUCAAAGGUUUCGUGAAAUCAAUCACGGAAAACAGUAACUAAAAUACUUACCAAGGAAACAGUUUACCAAGGAAACACAAAUACGAAAUCGAGACAAUGAUCAAAAACGACAAGCUGAAUGUGAUAUGUUCGAGGUUUCCCGAAUAUUUCCGGAGCCCAAACUCAACGAUUCCUGUGGAGAAUCUGGAUAAAGUGACUGAUUUAUAUUGCAAUAUGUCAAACGCAUCCCUCCGGGCCAUCAUGCGGACUUUCGUUAUGAACCGGAGAUUUUAUAUCGCUGAAUAUAUUAACCAACAAUCCAGUUCGCAGAGUGCUCAGGACGCAAAUGGCGGCAAAGCGACGGCUCCUGCAGCCGAAAUGGAAAGAAGUUUGGCGCCUGGUUUGACCGAGACAAACGAGAGCAGUCCGGAUUCUGAAGAAUCAGUAAUUUCGCUGUCUAGAUCGGAGGAGACAAACGAGAGCAGUCCGGAUUCUGAAGAAUCAGUGAUUCCGCCGCCAUCUUCCUCUAUAACCGGAAUUGAAAAUUGUACGAGGAAUCAAAGGUUUCGUGAAAUCAAUCACGGAAAACAGUAACUAAAAUACUUACCAAGGAAACAGUUUACCAAGGAAACACAAAUACGAAAUCGAGACAAUGAUCAAAAACGACAAGCUGAAUGUGAUAUGUUCGAGGUUUCCCGAAUA